rnacentral:rRNA from 1 species
CACGGGGGGAGCAAGCGUUGUUCGGAAUCACUGGGCGUAAAGGGCGUGUAGGCGGUCAAGUAAGUGGAAUGUGAAAGCCCCCGGCUUACCCGGGGAUCUGCAUCCCAAACUGCUUGGCUUGAGUACGGGAGAGGAUAGGGGAAUUCCUGGUGUAGCGGUGAAAUGCGCAGAUAUCAGGAAGAACACCUAUGGCGAAGGCAGCUCUCUGGGACGGUACUGACGCUGAGACGCGAAAGCGUGGGGAGCGAACAGG